UACGUAGGGUGCAAGCGUUGUCCGGAAUUAUUGGGCGUAAAGAGCUCGUAGGCGGCUUGUCGCGUCGGCUGUGAAAACCUGGGGCUCAACCCCGGGCCUGCAGACGAUACGGGCAAGCUAGAAUUCGGUAGGGGAGACUGGAAUUCCUGGUGUAGCGGUGAAAUGCGCAGAUAUCAGGAGGAACACCGGUGGCGAAGGCGGGUCUCUGGGCCGAUAUUGACGCUGAGGAGCGAAAGCGUGGGGAGCAAAAGGG
rnacentral:rRNA from 1 species